CAGCCGUAAACUUUUACUUACACCUUAUCGCCAGGGAACUACGAGCUAAGCUUAAAACCCAAAGGACUUGACGGUACCCCAUAUCCCCCUAGAGGAGCCUGUCCUAUAAUCGAUAAUCCACGUUUAACCUCACCAUUUUUAGUUAAUCAGCCUGUAUACCUCCGUCGUCAGCUUACCACGUGAGCGCCAAUUAGUGAGCCUAAUGUUAUUCCACCAACACGUCAGGUCAAGGUGCAGCAAAUGAAAUGGAAAGAGAUGGGCUACACUUUCUACAAUAGAAGAAACGAAAAACUACUUAUGAAACCUAGUUGGAAGGCGGAUUUAGCAGUAAAAAGGAAUCAACAUAUCCCUUUUAACCCGGCACUGGGGUGUGUACACACCGCCCGUCACCCU
rnacentral:rRNA from 1 species